AUAUACUGUUAGUUGCUUUGUCUGACUCUCUGUAGUUGUAAAAGAUCUGAGAACAUGAAACAUUGAUAAGUGUCUUUUCAAGAAGACCUUUUUUCCUAAAAUACAAUGUAAAUAUCACCAUUAUUACUUCACAUGAUAUCCCCUAAAUUUCGCCAGUGUUCCCUCAGCUUUUGAUUAGUAGACAAACAGAAGAAUGUGAAUCCAAGAAAUAAAAAAAAUUAAUUUGUGAUAACCAAUGAGUAUUUCUUGAAGCAUAGUCCUCAACUCCUUCAACACAAUAUAUAUAGUCCAAAAACCUCAAAACAUCUACAAAUUUCUAUGUAUUUGAAUGUAAAUCAAUAAAAUAAAUCAUUAUUCUGUCUCAAUUUUUGUGCUCAAUUAUUUUUAACAUUGUAAAUCAAAACUAUUAUAAUAUACUAAUAAAUUAUUUAAUAUUUAUCUUUAAAAUAAAAUAAAAUAAAAUGCUAUCCUUUUUAGGCAAGAAUUGACAAAGGCACAAGAGGCCCAGCCUAGCAACAAAAGAAAAUGGAAUACAGUCUGUUUAGCAAUCAAACCACUUACUGAAAUCUUACCAAUAGCUGGUUCCUACUGCUCUCAACACCCUGCUUGUCACCCACUAGCCAUACUCCUUCCUAGUCCCACCUAUAUAUAUCUCCACACACCUAUCCUUCUCUCUCAAGAACGACCUUCUUUUUUCUCUCAAACCCACCAUGAAAACCCACCUCCUUUCUCUAGCUUUUCUCUUCUUUUCCCUAGCCCAAGGGUUGAACCCCAAGUGUAGCACCCAAGACCAAGGUUCAACCCUUCAAGUGUUUCAUGUUUAUAGCCCAUGCUCCCCAUUUA
rnacentral:misc_RNA from 1 species